rnacentral:rRNA from 1 species
UUACCGUUGACCUCGGAUCAGGUAGGAGUACCCGCUGAACUUAA